GACGGAGGGGGCUAGCGUUGUUCGGAAUUACUGGGCGUAAAGCGUGCGUAGGCGGCUUUUCAAGUUGGGUGUGAAAGCCCGGGGCUUAACCCCGGAAAUGCGCCCAAGACUGUUUGGCUAGAGACCGGGAGAGGGUGAGUGGAACUCCGAGUGUAGAGGUGAAAUUCGUAGAUAUUCGGAAGAAACACCAGUGGCGAAGGCGGCUCACUGGACCCGGU
rnacentral:rRNA from 1 species